rnacentral:rRNA from 1 species
UACGUAGGGUGCGAGUGUUGUCCGGAAUUACUGGGCGUAAAGAGCUCGUAGGCGGCUUGUCGCGUUGUUCGUGAAAAUUUACCGCUCAACGGUGAACUUGCGGGCGAUACGGGCAGGCUAGAGUACUGCAGGGGAGACUGGAAUUCCUGGUGUAGCGGUGAAAUGCGCAGAUAUCAGGAAGAACACCGGUGGCGAAGGCGGGUCUCUGGGCAGUAACUGACGCUGAGGAGCGAAAGCGUGGGGAGCGAACAGG